UACGUAGGGGGCGAGCGUUGUCCGGAUUCAUUGGGCGUAAAGCGCUUUAAGGCGGUUCGCUAAGUCGGGUGUGAAACCUCCAGGCUCAACCUGGAAGACGCCACUCGAUACUGGCGUGACUAGAGUCCGGUAGGGGACCACGGAAUUCCUGGUGUAGGCGGUGAAAUGCGCAGAUAUUAAGGAGGAACACCAGUGGCGAAGGGCGGAUGGUCUGGGCCGGAACG
rnacentral:rRNA from 1 species